rnacentral:rRNA from 1 species
AUUGCAGGCUGCAACUCGCCUGCAUGAAGUCGGAAUUGCUAGUAAUCGUAGGUCAGCAUACUACGGUGAAUACGUUCCCGGGCCUUGUACACACCGCCCGUCAAACCGUGAGAGUUGGCAACACCCGAAGUCGGUAGUCUAACCGCAAGGGGGCGCGGCCGAAGGUGGGUUUGGUAAUUGGGGUGAAGUCGUAACAAGGUAAC